AAGCAACACUUUAUGGCAGAUGAUCAAAACUGUCUGACACGUUUUGAGCUUUCUCUGCCAGCAAAGUCUAACCUAUUGCAGUGCUCUCUCUUCUAUGAAACAACCCAUUACAGAGACUCAGU